CAUCUUGUAAUGGAGUUUGUGAGGACAGCUCCUCGGACAGCUCCUCACAUCUGUGAGGACAGCUCCUCAGACAGCUCCUAACAUCUCUUUGAACAAUCAAUGGUGCAAAAGUGGAGUCCCACCUGUGGGCUUAGGUGUGAAAGCGCUCCUGGCAGACCGCUCUCCGUGGGCAGUUUUUGGGUCUGAAGGACUAUGGAACAGCCUUAGUUCUUGGUGCAGAUGGAGACCUGGAAAAGUCCUGUUUCCGGUUGCCCUGUGGUUCUUGCAUCCAGCGAGUUCCUGUUUGGUCUCUCCUUGGACAAUGAGUGGUGCAAAAGUGUGGAUCCACCUGUGGGCUUAGGAUUGAAAGCACUCCUGGCAGAUCAGUUCUCUGCAGACAGGUUUUGUGUCGGAAGGCUGUGAGACAGCCUCAGCUCUGAGCUCAGGUUGAGAACUCUUGGACCUAAUGAAGCUCAUAAUGAUGAAUAAUUUAUGGGAGAUGACUCUAAGGAUCAUCAGCAGAAAGCUGUGGAAAGACACAAGGAAUUCCAUAAGAAAGAGGACUUGUCAUUCUCAAAAAGAAAGUUGACAAGGAGAUAAUUGAAUCUGGAAACAAUAUAAAUUCCUGCUAUGCAGUCCAGGCCGGCUUUGGAUUUAGGAUAAUCCUUCAGCUCGAUCUCCAAAGUGUUGGGAUUGCAAGUACUGCAGUCCUGGGGAAAAUUUUGACAGGAUUCAAUACAUACUAUCUCUGAGGAUACCUUGAAUCUUUGGUGUGUAUUUGUGGUAUGUAUGUGUGCUGGCUAGUGUUUUGUUGACUCAACGCUGGCUAGAGUUAUUUUGAGAGAGGGAACUCACAUGAGAAAAAUCCUCUUACCAGGUUGGCUUAUUAGAUAUUUUAUUGAUCUGAUUAAUGAUUGAUGUGGGAGGUCUCAGCUCAUCAUGUGUGAUACCAGCCCUGGUCAGGUGGACCUGAGUUGUCUAAGAAUGCAGAAACACUCCUCCAAUGUCUCUGCUUUAGUUCCUGCCUACAGGUUCCUACCGUGAG
rnacentral:sRNA from 1 species